rnacentral:sRNA from 1 species
GCCGGGUGCGGCGGCUCACACCUGUAAUCCCAGCACUUUGGGAGGCUGAGGUGGGUGGAUCACUUGAGGUCUGGAGUUCGAGACCAGCCUGGCCAACAUGGUGAAACCCCAUUUCUACUAAAAAUACAAAAAUUAGCUGGGCACGGUGGCUCACGCCUGUAAUCACAGCACUUUGGGAGGCCGAGGUGGGUGGAUCACCUGAGGUCAGGAGUUUGAGACCAGCCUGGCCAACAUAGUGAAACCCCGUCUCC